GGCAGCAGUGGGGAAUAUUGCACAAUGGGCGCAAGCCUGAUGCAGCCAUGCCGCGUGUAUGAAGAAGGCCUUCGGGUUGUAAAGUACUUUCAGCGGGGAGGAAGGCGUUGAGGUUAAUAACCUCAGCAAUUGACGUUACCCGCAGAAGAAGCACCGGCUAACUCCGUGCCAGCAGCCGCGGUAAUACGGAGGGUGCAAGCGUUAAUCGGAAUUACUGGGCGUAAAGCGCACGC
rnacentral:rRNA from 1 species